GAGAAGAAGAAGGGGAGCAAUGUCGAGCCUACCUGAAGAUAUCGUGGACAACAUACUGUCACGGUUACCAGUUAAGUCUAUUUUAAGAUUCAAGUGUGUUUGUAGAAAAUGGUGCAUUCUAUUUAGAAACCCUAAGUUUAUAAAAAUGCAUCUUAAUCAUGCUAUUCGUAUGAAUAACUUCAAUCUCUUACUUACCAAUGAUUAUGUACCUCAAUACUCCAUUACAAAAAGUUACGUCUAUGCCAUAGAUAAUAAUGUUGCCUCAUCAUCAUCAUCAUCAUCAUCAUCAUCAUCAUCAACAUCAUCAUCAUCUUCACCAUUUUCUGACGAGGCAGUUGAGAUUGAUCAUCCAUUUACAUCUGAUAAAUGUUUUACUCAGAUUUAUGGAUCUUGUAAUGGUUUAGUAUGCAUAGAACCUCGUCAGAGUGUUUGCAUUUGGAACCCGUCUACCAAAGAAUAUAAGCAAGUACCAGAAAUCCCUAUUGAAUUUCCUUCACCUGCUGCAGAAGAUGCCAUAGGUGGUUAUAAAACUGCAUAUGGGUUUGGUUUUGAUCACACUAUUGAUGAUUAUAAGUUACUAAGAAUUGUUGGUUUUGUUGUUGGGGAAGUUUCUGAAGCUAGAGUUUAUACCCUAGGAUCUAAUUCAUGGAGAAGCCUAGGAUUCAUUCCUUAUAAUUUUUAUGAUGGAAGAAAUUCUGGUUUAUUUAUUAAUGGACUUCUUUAUUGGAUUGCAACUCGUCAUGGUAUUGGAUCCGAAUUCUCAAGAGUCAUUGUGUCAUUUGAUAUUUGUGAUGAGACAUUUCAUGAAUUGCCAUUACCUAAUAACUAUUUGACUGAGGAUUUCAUUUCGGGGUUGGGUGUGUGGGAUGGGAAACUUUGCGUGCUUGGUGCCCACUAUGAGCAUCAUCAUAGAGAUCAUUAUGAUGUAUGGAUAAUGAAGGAUGAUUUGUGGCGUAAGCAUUUAACCAUUACAGCAGAGACAGGUGUUUAUUACAGUAAUCUGAUACAGGUUUUCCAAAAUGGUCAUGUCUUAUUACUUGGGUUCAUGACAGAGGAGAACACUGAUAGCUUACAUGUAUAUGACCCUAAGCUUGAAAGAGCUAGAAAUCUAGAAAUAUGUGGGCUUCCAACUGACUUUGAGAUAGAAACUUAUAUUGGGACCCUAGUUUCACUCAACUCAGGUACUUAUGUUGGAAAAGAACAAAACAUAGGAAGUCAGAAAACAAGAAAAAGAAGAAGAAGACUUGCAUAAUGUUUUGUCGAAUUGUGAACCAAGAAAGUAUGGAGUAGAAAGGAGGAGGGACCUGAUGUAGAAUGGUAUGGAAUUCAUUUCUUCUCUCUUGUGCUAAUAAGGGUGAUUGUGGGAUUUGGUGUUUGUACUGGUGGACUGGCCAAGAACUUGAAGAUUAUGCUCAUUUGAAGGGUGCCUGAUGAUAAGACGAUAUUUUAGAAAGAAUUUGUAUUUUAGGGGCUUCGGUAGUUCUGGCGUUCUAAAAAUCUGAAAGAGUUCAGUGAGAUUUGUUACAUUUCAGGUAGAUGAUAAGGUUUCAUGUCAUGAGAUUUGCUCAUUUUUUUAUGGGAGUGUAUAUCCAGGAUAAGAACAUUCUAUCAAUGAAUUAGCAUCUCAUUAGUUUUCAUUAGUAUCCGUAGAAAAA